UACGGGAGGCAGCAGUGGGGAAUAUUGCACAAUGGGCGAAAGCCUGAUGCAGCUAUGCCGCGUGUAUGAAGAAGGCCUUAGGGUUGUAAAGUACUUUCAUCGGGGAGGAAAAAACAAAACUAAUAAUUUUAUUUCUUGACGUUACCCGAAAAAGAAGCACCGGCUAACUCCGUGCCAGCAGCCGCGGUAAUACGGAGGGUGCUAGCGUUAAUCAGAAUUACUGGGCGUAAAGAGCACGUAGGUGGUUUUUUUAAAGUCAGAUGUGAAAUCCCUGGGCUUAACCUAGGAACUGCAUUUUGAAACUGAAAUACUAGAGUAUCGUAGAGGGAGGUAGAAUUCUAGGUGUAGCGGUGAAAUGCGUAGAUAUCUGGAGGAAUACCUGUGGCGAAAGCGGCCUCCUAAACGAAUACUGACACUGAGGGUGCGAAAAGCGUGGGGAGCAAACAGGGAUUAGAUACC
rnacentral:rRNA from 1 species